UACGUAGGGUGCGAGCGUUUAAUCGGAAUUACUGGGCGUAAAGCGUGCGCAGGCGGCGCGUUAAGACAGGUGUGAAAGCCCCGAGCUUAACUUGGGAAUUGCGCUUGUGACUGGCGUGCUGGAGUGUGGCAGAGGGAGGUGGAAUUCCACGUGUAGCAGUGAAAUGCGUAGAGAUGUGGAGGAACACCGGAUGGCGAAGGCAGCCUCCUGGGCCAGCACUGACGCUCAUGCACGAAAGCGUGGGAGCAAACAGG
rnacentral:rRNA from 1 species